rnacentral:rRNA from 1 species
UUGAUCCUGCCGGACCCGACUGCUAUCAGAAUAGGACUAAGCCAUGCGAGUCAACGUAGCAAUACGUGGCAUACGGCUCAGUAACACGUAGUCAGCAUGCCCAGGGGACGUGGAUAACCUCGGGAAACUGAGGAUAAACCGCGAUAGGUCAUAAUAUCUGGAAUGAUUUCUGGCUGAAAUCUAUAUGGCCCCUGGAUUGGACUGCGGCCGAUCAGGCUGUUGGUGAGGUAAUGGCCCACCAACCCUAAAACCGGUACGGGCUCUGAGAGGAGAAGCCCGGAGAUGGGCACUGAGACAAGGGCCCAGGCCCUAUGGGGCGCAGCAGGCGCGAAAACUCUGCAAUAAGCGAAAGCUUGACAGGGUUAUUCUGAGUGAUUUCCGCUAAGGAAAUCUUUUGGCACCUCUAAAAAUGGUGCAGAAUAAGGGGUGGGCAAGCCUGGUGUCAGCCGCCGCGGUAAUACCAGCACCCCGAGUGGUCGGGACGAUUAUUGGGCCUAAAGCAUCCGUAGCCGGUUCUACAAGUCUUCCGUUAAAUCCACCUGCUUAACAGAUGGGCUGCGGAGGAUACUAUGGAGCUAGGAGGCGGGAGAGGCAAGCGGUACUUAGUGGGUAGGGGUAAAAUCCGUUGAUCCAUUGAAGACCACCAGUGGCGAAGGCGGCUUGCCAGAACGCACUCGACGGUGAGGGAUGAAAGCUGGGGGAGCAAACCGGAUUAGAUACC